rnacentral:lncRNA from 1 species
CAGCACCACCUGAGGCCCCUGUGUCAUCAGGACAGUGCCCCACGCUCUGCCGUGUUCCCGAUCCCCUCUGGGUAGGACAGGGUGUCAGGGAGACCCUCUGGGGUGGCCGUAGACGGGGAGAGGGCCAGUGCCUCCCCAGGGCAGGGCACACGGGUGAUCCAGGGUGCCCCCAGCUCAUCCUGGGCACCCCUUCCUCCCAGCUCCCCAUCCCCUGCUUUUAUACUUUCCAUGAUGCCUGUACUGGGGACAAAUGUGUGCCCCACCAAAAUGGUCCCAAUGCCUCGUCCUCCCCCCUGCCCUUUCCUGUCCCAGCUCCCCAGGUAGUCCUCUCUAGUCUGAUGGCCCCUGGUCCCCUUGUUAGCCCCUCCCACCGGUUUCCCUGGCCCCCAGUGAUCUUGAGCAGGAUACCAGCUCUGCCGCUGCUACAGACAACUGUAGUGCUCCUGAGCCCUAUGCCCCAUACGUUAGAAUCAAGUGGGGUCAGGGUCAAGUCGCUGGGGUUUAGGGCCAGGGCUCAGUGCUGGGCAGGGUCAAUGCGAGGCUUGUGCUCGCAGGAGAGGUCACCCCAGCUCCUUACGCGCGCGCGUGCGCGCGCGCACACACACACACACAUACACUGACAGGCGCUGGCAGGCCAGGCAACUUAGGGCCAGGGCUGAGGAGUCAGCUCAAGGUCAAGCUGGGUUUCAGGGCCACACCUUCCUAGGUAAACAGAAUAAAUGUGUAAAAAGAAAAAAGAUGAUUAAUGGGUACAUACGACCUAACUUCUUGGACUUUUGAGAGGAUAAGCUUCCCUCUCCAACUUCUGGGCUAUUUCAGAGGAGAUGAGGGUGCCCCUUGCGCGGGGCAGGAGGAAGCCAAUGAUGCUGCAGGGUGCACGUCGGGGAGCGGGUGGUUCCCUGGGAGCAGGCUGGGCGGACCCGGGCAGGUUCCCUAGGUGCGCACCAAGAGGGCAUCAGAGCCCUGACGCCCCACCGUGCAGCCCCACCAUGAGCUGUGAGGGGGCCCAGUCAGUGCGCGGCAAAGGGCAGGCUUUGCAGACAACCCUGCCCCCUGGGUCCUGGUGGGAAGAGGGAAAAGAGGGGAGGCACCUCCCCUAGCCAGGCUGCCCAGGCCCUCCAUACCCUGGGACCGGCAGCUGCCGUGGGAUGGGGUCACCGGAUGGAAGGUCUCCUCCUAGCCUAUCAGAGCUGCCCCCAGGGGCACUGUGCAUCUUGGGGACAGGUGGCUGGGUUACCAAAAACAAAUAGGGGGGCCCAGCCACCAGACUGGCACUGCAGUUUCCUGCAAAAUCCCCCAAAUUAGCUGGCAGACAGCCCCCUCCUGGCUAAGGCAUGCAUUACACCCCAAAUCCAGGUUGAAUUUUCAGCUCAUCGCCCUUCUGGCUGCAUCCCAUCAUGCCCUCAGAGUGAAGGGCACGGAAGCCCCCUCUUAAGUGGGACCCCCCCAUCCCUCUCCUUGUUGUUGUCUGCUCACUCCCCGGGGCACUGGGACUCCAAGCCGGCUGCCCUCCUGGAAGUACGCCACUCCCUCACCCCAGGGGGUCUGAGGCCGCCUCAGUGAGUGAGCCCACGAGGGUCUGUCCCACCGGAAGGGGACAGGACACUGCCCCCCUGCACCCUGCUACAGGCAGCUGCCCAGAGGUGAUGGCGGAGCCCCGCCGGGCGCACCGAGAACCUUUGCCUGUCCCCGCGUCCCCAGCCCCAUGGGGUGUUGCCCCAGCAGGCGCCCUUGAGUGAAUGCCCUGGUAGGGGCAAGGGCCUUGUUUCAGGGAUGCUAGAGUACAGGAGCCACACUUUAACGCACCCAGGUGUUCCCAUGGACCCCACGCCACACGGCAGCAGACCAUGCAGGCAUCGACUUUAAUAGGGGGCUGACCUGUUUGGGGGGCUGGGAGGGUCCCCUUUCUGUUCUUGUUGGGAGGGACGUGUCACUGGGAUUGUCUGAAACCAAGAUGAACCGUCAACUAGGGAGCCGCGACCACCCUCUACAGCCUCUGCCCCACAGCUGAUGACUCAGAGACGGCGGGUCAGAGAGCCCGGGGUGCUCGGCAGGGUCCCAGGCAGCGGGGCCGCGGCCACUAGAGCAGUCCCCGUCAGCACCUCCGGGGACUCCAGUGAGACCGCUGGCUCCCCGGGACGUCCCUCUGUGGUGUGGCCGCCUCUGCAUGCACAGCCGCACGUGAUGGGGACUGGUCGGGGCUCCUGCAGCCACCAACCCAGCAGGGGUACGUCCUCCCCGACCGGCCCGAUGCCCCAGAACGCCGACACAGAAGAGGAGAGGUUUCCAGCCCUGAACCAACGUGGAAACUGGGCAGGUCAGGAAGCCAGGCCAAGGCAGGGACUCUUCCACUGUGCUGCCGGGCUGCCGUCGGGAGCAGCAGGGAGAAGCGAGGGAAGAAAGGGCAAGGAAGCUAGGCUCCACGCGCCCUCCAAACGAGAGAGCGGGCUGCAGAGAAGGCAGCCCGUGGAGCCUCGCGGGGCCAGAGACAGAAGUGUGCUGGCACCAGGAGCGUUGGGCCUGCCUGUGGCUGCGUGGGAACCACAGCAUCAGAGCUGUGUUGGCCGGAGGGUCCAAAUGUUGCCAUUUAAUCCAGAAAUGAGAGCAAGACAGCAGCGCCAGGGCAACGCUCCGUAGAGUCAUCCUGGUAUCAAGCCCGGUGUGCGCCACGUUGCGCCGUCAGCACCUGACCGGCCUGGCCUGGCGCCGGUGUCCUGGGAGCCGGGUCAGGGCUGGCCACGCACCCAAACUCUGUGGGCCCCAGUCUCUGGGGAGUCCCUGCCAGUCCCACGCAAAGAGGCCAAGUUAGGAGGCUGCCACCAGGUCCACCUGCUUGGGCCUGGCCUUGAUGGGGACUUUUUCUGUGGAGGAAAGAA